UUGGCUCCAAGAAUAUCUUUCUGCCCAUACUUUCUCCAGCUAUACCCAUCGUCAUGGGGUCCUUCCAGGCCAUUCUCAGAAAUCACUCUAACUUGAUCUGUCCAUCUGGGCAUCGUCUUUCUGCAAUUUGAGACGUCAUUGUGACCCCCAUCAAAAUCAUCACUUCCAGGACUGCCAUGCAUGGAUAAAGGAGACUCUGGGACAUUACCAGCCGUGGCUGCAACAUUUUGCUGCUGUUUCUGUUGCUGUUGCUGCUGCUGCCCCAGCGAUCCACUCCAGUUGAGAAUCAAGAGAGACUUCUCAUAUGAAGUUAAAAUCCUCUGUACUAAGGAGUCCCUAAUUUCAACAGAUGAUGCUGUGUUCAAAUGUACCCUCAACUGUUUUGCCAGCUCCAUCCCUUGGAUUAGCUCACUAAUCAGUGUCUUCUGCUCCCAGCUCCAACUAUUCUCCAUAUUUUUCUUUCUACACUUAAUCUAAUCAGACUUACAAUGAGCAAAACACUUGUCUAACCAGAAGGGUGAAGAAUUAGCAGCAAAUAACAUGGAAAUGGGAAAAAUUAUAAAGAAUAAUAUCAAUCUCUUCUUGAAUUGUGUUUGAAUAGAUAGUUAG
rnacentral:misc_RNA from 1 species